UACAGAGGGUGCGAGCGUUGUUCGGAGUUAUUGGGCGUAAAGGGCGCGUAGGCGGCGCGGUAUGUCACCUGUGAAAUCUCCUGGCUCAACUGGGAGCUUGCAGGCGAAACUGCCGUGCUGGAGUGUGGGAGAGGUGCGUGGAAUUACCGGUGUAGCGGUGAAAUGCGUAGAUAUCGGUAGGAACACCAGUGGCGAAGGCGGUUUCCUGGAGCCCACUUGACGCUGAGACGCGAAAGCUGGGGGAGCAAACGGG
rnacentral:rRNA from 1 species